CUGCGUGAAGUUGGAAUUGCUAGUAAUCGCGGAUCAGCAUGCCGCGGUGAAUACGUUCCCGGGCCUUGUACACACCGCCCGUCACACCAUGGGAGCCGGUAAUACCCGAAGUCAGUAGUCUAACCGCAAGGGGGGCGCUGCCGAAGGUAGGAUUGGCGGCUGGGGUGAAGUCGUAACAAGGUAGC
rnacentral:rRNA from 1 species